GAGUUCCAGAGGAAGGUUGCAGAGGUGAGAAUGCUGAAAGAAAGCCUUAAUAUUGAUUUGUUUUUGUGGCUUUAAAAAAUAAAAUAAAAACAUAAAAGGGUGGGUGGUUGGGGGUGUAUUGAUUUGACAGCUGUUCAUAUCCAUUUGCAAUUUCAAGUAUCAGCUGCUAACUUCAGUUUCAUGGUGAUUUGCAAUAUAAUUUCACGGGAAUGGGAAAAAGUUAAAUUAUGUUGUAAUCUGUCUUACGAAUUAUGGUCAUGUUUAUAUGAUUAUUUUCCAUGCUGAUGACUGAAGGCCUUAUUCUCUUUCCUUCUCAAUUAUCAUUUUGGUUAUGUCUGGAAGUUAUGCCAAAUUUAGUUGCCAUCACUGCUUCCUCUCCCUCAACUCCAAACAGAGAAUAGAAAGAGAGAUGCACACCCCCAAAGUCCUUGACCCCUAACCAUAAUCAGAUAUUGAUUGUUAAUCCCUUCAGUGCUUUGACAGCUAAUUUUGUUCAGAUGCCUCCAGUAGGCUUUCUUCUGCAAUCUAAUAUUUUAGAGUUGCAUUUCAAGAGAGAGGAUGUUGUCAUUAUUAAAUCUCUUAAUCUUAAUUCUUGAGCUGCAUAUUUACAGCAUUUGGCAAACUUGGGUCAUCUAAUUGCUCUUUAUCUGCAUUGCUUUAUUAUGAUGUAAAGG
rnacentral:misc_RNA from 1 species